AAGCUAGCCAGUGAGUUGGCUUACCUAAGUAUGUACAUGCAGAGAUUUAGAUAAAGCUGGUAGUUAUAGUGCCAUGCAUGAUAGAAGCCUUAAGGACUAUCAAAGUCAUUAAGGUCCCCUAAGAAUGGCUACAACA